CCCUUAGAUGUCCUGGGCCGCACGCGCGCUACACUGACAUGCUCAACAAGCCUCCUAGUUCGACAGGAUUUGGGAAAUCUUUGAACGCAUGUCGUGAUAGGGAUAGAUCAUUGCAAUUAUUGAUCUUGAACGAGGAAUUCCUAGUAAACGCGAGUCAUCAGCUCGCAUUGAUUACGUCCCUGCCCUUUGUACACACCGCCCGUCGCACCUACCGAUUGAAUGUUUCGGUGAAGAUUCCGGAUAGGACUUUUUUGAUUUAUUUCAAUUUUGUCUUAAAAGCUAUCUAAACCUCAACAUUUAGAGGAAGGUGAAGUCGUAACA
rnacentral:rRNA from 1 species